UACGGAGGGUGCAAGCGUUAUCCGGAUUCACUGGGUUUAAAGGGUGCGUAGGCGGGCAGGUAAGUCCGUGGUGAAAUCUCUGAGCUUAACUCAGAAACUGCCAUGGAUACUAUUUGUCUUGAAUGUUGUUGGAGGUAAGCGGAAUAUGUCAUGUAGCGGUGAAAUGCUUAGAUAUGACAUAGAACACCAAUUGCGAAAGGCAGCUUACUACACAAAUAUUGACGCUGAGGCACGAAAGCGUGGGGAUCAAACAGG
rnacentral:rRNA from 1 species